rnacentral:rRNA from 1 species
GUAGGUGGCAAGCGUUGUCCGGAAUUAUUGGGCGCAAAGCGCGCGCAGGCGGUUCUUUAAGUCUGAUGUGAAAGCCCACGGCUCAACCGUGGAGGGUCAUUGGAAACUGGAGAACUUGAGUACAGAAGAGGAAAGCGGAAUUCCACGUGUAGCGGUGAAAUGCGUAGAGAUGUGGAGGAACACCAGUGGCGAAGGCGGCUUUCUGGUCUGUAACUGACGCUGAGGCGCGAAAGCGUGGGGGGAGCAAACAGGAUUAGAUAUCCUGGUAGUCCACGCCGUAAACCGAUGAGUGCUAAGUGUUAGGGGGUUUCCGGCCCCCCCCUUACGUGCUGCAGCUAACGCAUUAAGCACUCCGCCCUGGGAGUACGGCCGCAAGGCUG